UACGUAGGGUGCAAGCGUUGUCCGGAAUUAUUGGGCGUAAAGAGCUCGUAGGCGGUCUGUCGCGUCGGCUGUGAAAACCCGGGGCUCAACCCCGGGCCUGCAGUCGAUACGGGCAGACUAGAGUGCGGUAGGGGAGACUGGAAUUCCUGGUGUAGCGGUGAAAUGCGCAGAUAUCAGGAGGAACACCGGUGGCGAAGGCGGGUCUCUGGGCCGUAACUGACGCUGAGACACGAAAGCGUGGGUAGCAAACAGG
rnacentral:rRNA from 1 species